UACGGGGGGGGCAAGCGUUGUUCGGAAUUACUGGGCGUAAAGCGCGCGUAGGCGGCUCUUCAAGUCGGGUGUGAAAACUCCAGGCUCAACCUGGAGACGCCACCCGAUACUGCUUUGGCUAGAGUCCGGUAGGGGAGCAUGGAAUUCCUGGUGUAGCGGUGAAAUGCGCAGAUAUCAGGAGGAACACCAGUGGCGAAGGCGGUGCUCUGGGCCGGAACUGACGCUGAGGAGCGAAAGCGUGGGGAGCAAACAGG
rnacentral:rRNA from 1 species